CAGGAGAAAGGGGAAUUCAUUAUAACAUUCCCCUUUGGAUAUCAUAGUGACUUUAACUACGGAUUUAACAUGGCUGAAACUAUACAUUUUGCAUCAUCUCCACGUUGGGUGGAGUAUGGGAUAAAAGCUUCACUGUGUCAUUGCCGUAAAGAUUCAGUGAAGAUUUGUAUGGACACAUUUAUUAAACUAUAUUUUAAUUCCGUAUCAUGAAAUAAACCUUAUAUAAAUAAACACGGAAGACAUGGACUUGUAUAGUAUUAACUGUAUACAUGUUGGAAAUCGAAAAGCAUUGUAUUCAAUACCUCCAGAAUAUGGACACGAAUUUGAAUGAUUGGCUAAUCGCUUUUUUCCAACUAAACCGGCAAACUGCCCUGCUUUUCUCAG